UACGUAGGAUGCAAGCGUUGUCCGGAAUUAUUGGGCGUAAAGAGCGCGCAGGCGGUAUGACAAGUCAGAUGUGAAAGAGGCCGGCUUAACCGGCAAGGGUCAUUUGAAACUGUCAGACUAGAGUGCAGCAGAGGAUAGUGGAAUUCCCGGUGUAGUGGUGAAAUGCGUAGAUAUCAGGAGGAACACCGAUGGCGAAGGCAGGUCACUGGGCCGCAACUGACGCUGAGGAGCGGAAAGCAUGGGGAGCGAACAGG
rnacentral:rRNA from 1 species